CACCUUUUCCACAUACAACUACAGAUUUUGUCCAUGAGUUUUGUCUUCCCUGUUUUCAGCACGAAAGAUUCCUGAAAUCCCCCUGGAGGAGAGUGAGCUCGGCCCCCAGCAGCGGAGCGGUGCCAGGAAUGAAAGCAGAGAUCUGGACCGAGGCGGGGCUCUGGCUUCCACUUCCAUUCCGGGAGUACUUCGGAGUGCUCCAAUAGAGCCUCUGCUGCGUGGAACACACCCCUUCCUCAGCACCUGCCUCUCCAUCUGCUUUGCACCAGAGGGUCACCACAGAGGGGCCAUCUGCAUUCAGCCAUUAACCCCGGUGUGCCCUUGCCUGCUAAUGCAGCCAGCAAGUCCCUCUGAGGCCCUUUUUAAGAGAUGAGCUGAGGCGAGGAAGAGGCCCUGGCAGAGUGAAGCCAACAAGCCCACCCAGGGCCCCUGAGGGAGGCAGCUGUGGCCCUGAACCCAGCUUGGUAAGUGCUCCGAAAGGUGGUGAUGAGCGCACCAGAUGAGAUAACGCAGAAUUCCCUGAAGUUUUGCAUACCGGAACUAGAUGCCAAACAUUUAUUAACUCCAUC
rnacentral:lncRNA from 1 species